rnacentral:rRNA from 1 species
GUGCCAGCAGCCGCGGUAAUACGUAGGUGGCAAGCGUUGUCCGGAAUUAUUGGGCGUAAAGGGCGAGUAGGCGGCCGAUUAUGUCAGAUGUGAAAGGCUAGGGCUUAACCCUAACAUGGCAUUUGAAACUGAUUGGCUUGAGUGUAGGAGAGGGAAGCGGAAUUCCUAGUGUAGCGGUGAAAUGCGUAGAUACUAGGAGGAACACCAGUGGCGAAGGCGGCUUCCUGGCCUAUUACUGACGCUGAUGCGCGAAAGCGUGGGGAGCAAACAGGAUUAGAUACCCUGGUAGUCCACGCCGUAAACGAUGGGUGCUAGGUGUGGGAGGUAUCGACCCCUUCCGUGCCAUAGUUAACGCAAUAAGCACCCCGCCUGGGGAGUACGGUCGCAAGACUGAAACUCAAAGGAAUUGACGGGGGCCCGCACAAGCAGCGGAGCGUGUGGUUUAAUUCGACGCAACGCGAAGAACCUUACCAAGGCUUGACAUCCCUCGCAAUCUGUAGAGAUAUAGAGUUCCCUUCGGGGACGAGGAGACAGGUGGUGCACGGUUGUCGUCAGCUCGUGUCGUGAGAUGUUGGGUUAAGUCCCGCAACGAGCGCAACCCUUGUACUUAGUUGCCAUCAUUAAGUUGGGCACUCUAAGUAGACUGCCGGUGACAAACCGGAGGAAGGUGGGGAUGACGUCAAAUCAUCAUGCCCCUUAUGUCUUGGGCUACACACGCGCUACAAUGGUCUGUACAGAGGGCAGCGACACCGCGAGGUGAAGCGAAUCCCAUAAAACAGAUCUCAGUUCGGAUUGCAGGCUGCAACUCGCCUGCAUGAAGUCGGAGUUGCUAGUAAUCGCGGAUCAGAACGCCGCGGUGAAUGCGUUCCCGGGCCUUGUACACACCGCCCGUCACACCACGAAAGUUGGUAACACCCGAAGUCGGUGAGCAAAACGCAGCCGCCGAAGGUGGGACUAAUGAUUGGGGUGAAGUCGUAACAAGGUAACC